rnacentral:rRNA from 1 species
UACGUAGGGGGCAAGCGUUGUCCGGAAUCAUUGGGCGUAAAGAGCGCGUAGGCGGCCCUGUAAGUCCGCUGUGAAAGUCCGGGGCUCAACUCCGGAUCUGCGGUGGGUACGGGCAGACUAGAGUGAUGUAGGGGAGACUGGAAUUCCUGGUGUAGCGGUGAAAUGCGCAGAUAUCAGGAGGAACACCGAUGGCGAAGGCAGGUCUCUGGGCCGAUACUGACGCUGAGGAGCGAAAGCGUGGGGAGCGAACAGG